rnacentral:rRNA from 1 species
AACGAACGCUGGCGGCAUGCCUAACACAUGCAAGUCGAACGAAGCCUUCGGGCUUAGUGGCGCACGGGUGCGUAACGCGUGGGAAUCUGCCCUGGGGUUCGGAAUAACAGUUAGAAAUGACUGCUAAUACCGGAUGAUGUCUUCGGACCAAAGAUUUAUCGCCCAAGGAUGAGCCCGCGUCGGAUUAGCUAGUUGGUGAGGUAAAGGCUCACCAAGGCGACGAUCCGUAGCUGGUCUGAGAGGAUGAUCAGCCACACUGGGACUGAGACACGGCCCAGACUCCUACGGGAGGCAGCAGUGGGGAAUAUUGGACAAUGGGCGAAAGCCUGAUCCAGCAAUGCCGCGUGAGUGAUGAAGGCCUUAGGGUUGUAGAGCUCUUUUACCCGGGAUGAUAAUGACAGUACCGGGAGAAUAAGCCCCGGCUAACUCCGUGCCAGCCGCCGCAGUAACAC